ACGGAUGCUUAUACGGCGAGUGAAGCGGCAAAAGCUCAAAUUUGAAAUCUGGCGCCUUCGGUGUCCGAGUUGUAAUUUGAAGAUUGUAACCUUGGGGUUGGCUCUUGUCUAUGUUUCUUGGAACAGGACGUCACAGAGGGUGAGAAUCCCGUGCGAUGAGAUGCCCAAUUCUAUGUAAGGUGCUUUCGAAGAGUCGAGUUGUUUGGGAAUGCAGCUCUAAGUGGGUGGUAAAUUCCAUCUAAAGCUAAAUAUUGGCGAGAGACCGAUAGCGAACAAGUACAGUGAUGGAAAGAUGAAAAGAACUUUGAAAAGAGAGUGAAAAAGUACGUGAAAUUGUUGAAAGGGAAGGGUUUGAGAUCAGACUCGAUAUUUUGUGAGCCUUGCCUUCGUGGCGGGGUGACCCGCAGCUUAUCGGGCCAGCAUCGGUUUGGGCGGUAGGAUAAUGGCGUAGGAAUGUGACUUUACUUCGGUGAAGUGUUAUAGCCUGCGUUGAUGCUGCCUGCCUAGACCGAGGACUGCGAUUUUAUCAAGGAUGCUGGCAUAAUGAUCCCAAACCGCCCGUCUUGAAACCGGCCCA
rnacentral:rRNA from 1 species